rnacentral:rRNA from 1 species
UACGGAGGGUGCGAGCGUUGUCCGGAAUCACUGGGCGUAAAGGGUGCGUAGGCGGGUCUUUAAGUCAGGGGUGAAAUCCUGGAGCUCAACUCCAGAACUGCCCUUGAUACUGAAGAUCUUGAGUUCGGGAGAGGUGAGUGGAACUGCGAGUGUAGAGGUGAAAUUCGUAGAUAUUCGCAAGAACACCAGUGGCGAAGGCGGCUCACUGGCCCGAUACUGACGCUGAGGCACGAAAGCGUGGGGAGCAAACAGG